ACGAUGUCGACUUGGAGGUUGUGCCCUUGAGGCGUGGCUUCCGGAGCUAACGCGUUAAGUCGACCGCCUGGGGAGUACGGCCGCAAGGUUAAAACUCAAAUGAAUUGACGGGGGCCCGCACAAGCGGUGGAGCAUGUGGUUUAAUUCGAUGCAACGCGAAGAACCUUACCUACUCUUGACAUCCAGAGAACUUAGCAGAGAUGCUUUGGUGCCUUCGGGAACUCUGAGACAGGUGCUGCAUGGCUGUCGUCAGCUCGUGUUGUGAAAUGUUGGGUUAAGUCCCGCAACGAGCGCAACCCUUAUCCUUUGUUGCCAGCGGUCCGGCCGGGAACUCAAAGGAGACUGCCAGUGAUAAACUGGAGGAAGGUGGGGAUGACGUCAAGUCAUCAUGGCCCUUACGAGUAGGGCUACACACGUGCUACAAUGGCGCAUACAAAGAGAAGCGACCUCGCGAGAGCAAGCGGACCUCAUAAAGUGCGUCGUAGUCCGGAUUGGAGUCUGCAACUCGACUCCAUGAAGUCGGAAUCGCUAGUAAUCGUAGAUCAGAAUGCUACGGUGAAUACGUUCCCGGGCCUUGUACACACCGCCCGUCACACCAUGGGAGUGGGUUGCAAAAGAAGUAGGUAGCUUAACCUUCGGGAGGGCGCUUACCACUUUGUGAUUCAUGACUGGGGUGAA
rnacentral:rRNA from 1 species